AUGCCGGAACUGAAAUGACUAAUUCUGCUAGCUUGUGGUUCUGCGGGGACUCACUAAUGAGGAUGGACACAGGCUGGCUGUGGGUGCCCACUCCGGCGCUGGUCACUGCUGCCACCUCCACCUGGUACAGAAUGCCUGGCAGCAGCCCCUUGAGCACAGUGGAGAGGAAGGUGCCAUCUACGGUGGUGUUGAUGUGGUAGCGGGUCUGGGUGUCGUUGCCUACACACCACACCUGUUAUUGUUGGUUGGAGGAUGGUACUGACCUUGUGUGCGGACGGGCUCAGAGAUGGGGCUGGGGUCACUCAGGCCAUAAGCGUUGACCGCUCGGACGAUGAAUAGGUAGAUGGUGUUGGGGAAGAGACCACUGACCGUGUGUUUCUCCAACUUGACCAAGUCAGCCACCGUUUGCCAUGUACUGCCUGCUGAUUGGCUAAAAGAAUCCAACUCAGCGGCAAGUAGCCUAGCGGUUAAGAGCGUUGGUCCAGUAACCGAAAGGUCAGAGGCGUGUGUGAAACAAUUGUGGAGGCAAAAGCAUUGACAUGAUAUCUCUGCAUUGGCAUGAUUGGUUGACAAUAGGUGGCGGCGGUACGUCCUGUAAUAAACACAAACUUGACAACUUCCUUCACAAUAGCUCUGCUCCGCCAAGUGCAAUAAAUAUGAAAGCCCUGAUGACUGAGGAGGCUGCUUCACAGUAAAUGCUGUACACCACUUCAGACACAGAUUGACGUUUAGGCUGCCCGCAGCAACUCUCUGAUUCGGAGGGGUUGGGUUAAAUGCGGAAGAGACAUUUUGGUUGUGCAACUGACUAGGUAUAACCCUUCGUUAGGUUAUUGGCAAAGCAUUCCACCAAACAUUGCCAUGACUCAAUAGUGACUACAAACUGUUCCUCAGUCUUUUUUUUACAGAGAAUCAGAUAGGAGCCACUAGAAUAGCAGAGCCCAGGCUGAAGCUGUUUGCUUAGUCAUUAAGUGCUGUGUUCAGCGAUGCUUCGCUAUCCCCCAUGCUCAUUUGACGCACUGCGUUCCCGAGCCCAGUGACAGGUCCAGGAAAUGAUGACGGAGCUAUUUUUAUCCCACUCAGGUUUUUAGCCACGACGCACCAUCAGACCAUGCCAGAGCAUCUGGUAAAUAACAAUAACGCCAGCUGUGUGUUUAUGACAAGUUUCUUUGUUCGUUUAAAAAAAAAAGUUUGUCAUCUUAAAUAUUCGUGUUUUGCCUUCUAAUAAAUAAAGUGAUAAAUCUUGUGAGCAAUGCAUCUAAUAAAGGCAGUUCCGUUUGCAUUUUCCUCUCCUGCCUGGUCUUCUUUAGAUUUGCUGUCACACCUUGUUUAUUGUUUACUGGCAUAGUUACAUGACACCCUCCUCCACCCUUCGUCACUCGCUUUUCUUAUCUUUUCCUCAACCCGUUCCUUUUUCAUUUCCCCCUCGGGACCAGUGACUGCUGUAGCAGACAAGUGACUUUAUAGCCGACCUGCGCAAUUAGGCGACAGCGAUAAAAGCUGUGUGAGCCGUAAAUAUUCCUCCAGCGGACCGCCCAAAAGUGAUAAAUCCAAGGUCACUUUGUCCGAGGAGAGGCUGGGAAACUUGGGACACACACAGGAAACACACAAAUACACACGUACAUAUACACUCUUGCCCCACAAACAUGCCAAUGGGGGAAAAACGAGUGUUCCUCACCUCCAUGUCCUAUAGAAUGGAGAGAGGACAAUGGUAAAUCUGCCCAUCUUCAUACAGUAACAACAUGUCAGGAUUCUAU